rnacentral:rRNA from 1 species
GACGAACGCUGGCGGCGUGCUUAACACAUGCAAGUCGAACGGUAAGGCCCUUCGGGGUACACGAGUGGCGAACGGGUGAGUAACACGUGGGUGAUCUGCCCUGCACUUCGGGAUAAGCCUGGGAAACUGGGUCUAAUACCGGAUAGGACCACUGCCUGCAUGGGUGGUGGUGGAAAGCUUUUGCGGUGUGGGAUGGGCCCGCGGCCUAUCAGCUUGUUGGUGGGGUGAUGGCCUACCAAGGCGACGACGGGUAGCCGGCCUGAGAGGGCGACCGGCCGCAAUGGGACUGAGAUACGGCCCAGACGCCUACGGGAGGCAGCGGUGGGGAAUAUUGCACAAUGGGCGCAAGCCUGAUGCAGCGACGCCGCGUGAGGGAUGACGGCCUUCGGGUUGUAAACCUCUUUCAGCACCGACGAAGCGCAAGUGACGGUAGGUGCAGAAGAAGGACCGGCCAACUACGUGCCAGCCGCCGCGGUAA